AUGUAUAAAAAAGAAGGAUAAAUAAAACUAAACAUCACACAACCUUAGCUUUCAAAAUUUAAAAAUGUUCACAAACUUUAAUAUCCACGAAAAUAAUAAAUAUUAAUGAACCUACAAAAUGUGAACUGCAAUUAUUUUUUGCUUUUUAAUGUUCUCAAAUUAAUAAGUGCUCAUGAAUUAAAAUGUGUAAAAAAAAGAGAAGGAGAAAUAAAACUAAGCAUGCAACCUUACAAGUAGGGCCCUCAGCGACCGCAUAACCCUCGAAGCACCAAAACGCUCCAAAUAAUGGGAGGUUAAUAUAUCUGUUGAUUACAGAACCAUAUGGGUUCCUUCACAUGGUAGUGAACCAGACACAAAAGGAGAAAGAGAUCGCUGUCAUCCUCCUGCCCGGGUAGAAUAAAGUUCAGAGGAAAGAACUUCAUAUGUUAAUGAUACGUUGUCCAGUACCCCAGGCUUGCUGCCCGCCAAAGAGGCCACCGUCCCCAAUGGAAACCUCCAUCGAUACUCGCUGGAACAACCCCACCUGUGGGCUUUCUGUUUGGUUGCUUGCCUGCGAUAUAAAGACCACAGGUUGAGCCCAUAUCCAGUUUGUAUGUGAUCAAUUUGUUUCUAGUCGGCCACGAGAUCGAGAUCGACAGUUAACAAUAUUUUCCCAACCUGUAUGCUACAGGCACUAAUCAUGUCAGUUUCAGCCCUAAACAACUGCAAAGGGAAAUGUACAUGAAGUAGGCAGUGAUCACGAAUCGCUCCUACGACCGACUACCACUGCUAUUUAGUUGCCUUGUAAGGUGCUGACUCGACUUGUCCCCUACACGUCUAAAUACUUAUGCCUAGAAUCAAAUCGAAAUAAACCAACUGCUAGGAUAUAAUCCUGAUUCACUGAUUCAAACUUGCACUUUUGAUGAUAAUCCUAAUCAAACAAAGCAAAACUUUGAAAGAAAAAAAAAUAUAACAGGUAAUACAACCAGUGGCACUGUUAUUACUGUUGCUUGAGCCCACCCACAUGCAUACACCGACAAAAAACAGAGAGGAACUAGGUAAUGGAAA
rnacentral:lncRNA from 1 species